rnacentral:rRNA from 1 species
GAUGAACGCUGGCGGCGUGCCUAAUACAUGCAAGUCGAGCGAACAGAUAAGGAGCUUGCUCCUUUGACGUUAGCGGCGGACGGGUGAGUAACACGUGGGUAACCUACCUAUAAGACUGGGAUAACUUCGGGAAACCGGAGCUAAUACCGGAUAAUAUUUCGAACCGCAUGGUUCGAUAGUGAAAGAUGGGUUUGCUAUCACUUAUAGAUGGACCCGCGCCGUAUUAGCUAGUUGGUAAGGUAACGGCUUACCAAGGCGACGAUACGUAGCCGACCUGAGAGGGUGAUCGGCCACACUGGAACUGAGACACGGUCCAGACUCCUACGGGAGGCAGCAGUAGGGAAUCUUCCGCAAUGGGCGAAAGCCUGACGGAGCAACGCCGCGUGAGUGAUGAAGGUCUUCGGAUCGUAAAACUCUGUUAUUAGGGAAGAACAUACGUGUAAGUAACUGUGCACGUCUUGACGGUACCUAAUCAGAAAGCCACGGCUAACUACGUG